rnacentral:rRNA from 1 species
UACGGGGGGGGCUAGCGUUGUUCGGAAUUACUGGGCGUAAAGGGCGCGUAGGCGGUCUGCUAAGUUGGAUGUGAAAACUCUGGGCUUAACCCAGAGCCUGCAUUCAAUACUGACAGGCUAGAGUUCUGGAGGGGAUAGCGGAAUUCCUGGUGUAGCGGUGAAAUGCGUAGAUAUCAGGAGGAACACCGGUGGCGAAGGCGGCUAUCUGGACCAUUACUGACGCUGAGGCGCGAAAGCGUGGGGAGCAAACAGG